rnacentral:rRNA from 1 species
GACGAACGCUGGCGGCGUGCCUAAUACAUGCAAGUUGAGCGCUGAAGGUUGGUACUUGUACCGACUGGAUGAGCAGCGAACGGGUGAGUAACGCGUGGGGAAUCUGCCUUUGAGCGGGGGACAACAUUUGGAAACGAAUGCUAAUACCGCAUAAAAACUUUAAACACAAGUUUUAAGUUUGAAAGAUGCAAUUGCAUCACUCAAAGAUGAUCCCGCGUUGUAUUAGCUAGUUGGUGAGGUAAAGGCUCACCAAGGCGAUGAUACAUAGCCGACCUGAGAGGGUGAUCGGCCACAUUGGGACUGAGACACGGCCCAAACUCCUACGGGGGGCAGCAGUAGGGAAUCUUCGGCAAUAGACGAAAGUCUGACCGAGCAACGCCGCGUGAGUGAAGAAGGUUUUCGGAUCGUAAAACUCUGUUGGUAGAGAAGAACGUUGGUGAGAGUGGAAAGCUCAUCAAGUGACGGUAACUACCCAGAAAGGGACGGCUAACUACGUG